rnacentral:rRNA from 1 species
GACGAACGCUGGCGGCGUGCUUAACACAUGCAAGUCGAACGGAAAGGCCCUGCUUUUGUGGGGUGCUCGAGUGGCGAACGGGUGAGUAACACGUGUGUAACCUGCCCUUGACUUUGGGAUAGCUUCAGGAAACUGGGGCUAAUACCGGAUAGGAGCUCCUGCUGCAUGGUGGGGGUUGGAAAGUUUCGGCGGUUGGGGAUGGACUCGCGGCUUAUCAGCUUGUUGGUGGGGUAGUGGCUUACCAAGGCUUUGACGGGUAGCCGGCCUGAGAGGGUGACCGGCCACAUUAGGACUGAGAUACGGCCCAGACUCCUACGGGAGGCAGCAGUGGAGAAUAUUGCACAAUGGGCGGAAGCCUGAUGCAGCAACGCCGCGUGCGGGAUGACGGCCUUCGGGUUGUAAACCGCUUUCGCCUGUGACGAAGCGUGAGUGACGGUAAUGGGUAAAGAAGCACCGGCUAACUACGUG